rnacentral:rRNA from 1 species
GACGAACGCUGGCGGCGUGCUUAACACAUGCAAGUCGAACGGGCCCGCUCUCUUUUUUGGGGGUGGGUUGCGUGGCGAACGGGUGAGUAUCACGUGAGUAACCUGCCCCCUGCUCCUGGAUAACUGCUUGAAAGGGCGGCUAAUACGGGGUGUGCCGGCUGGUCCGCAUGGGCCUGGUCGGGAUAGUUUCAUCUUCGGGUGUUUCGGUGGGGGAUGGGCUCGCGGCCUAUCAGCUUGUUGGUGGGGUGAUGGCCCACCAAGGCGGUGACGGGUAGCCGGCCGGAGAGGGUCGGCGGCCACACUGGGACUGAGACACGGCCCAGAGGCCUUCGGGAGGCAGCAGGGGGGGGUAUGGCGCAAGGGGCGGAAGCCUGAUGCAGCGACGUCGCGGGAGGGAUGGGGGCCUUCGGGUUGUGAACCUCUUUCUCCGGGGGGGAAGGCCCUGUCCGGUGCGGCGGGGUUGACGGUAGCCGGGGAUGAAGCGCCGGCUAACUACGUG